ACAAGCCCGAAUCUUCUCAGAAGGCUCUCUGUCAAUUCCCCAUGCCAGGAUGCUCCCAGGUUUCUCUGCAGUGUGUCCUCGCUAGCUGCACGCAGGAACCUGCAGUAAACACCCCAGGACUCGGAGACAUGAGGCGACCACAGUGAGCCGGGAGGAUACUGAACCUUUAGACACUUCCGCUCGCAAUGAGCACAUGUCACUGAGUCCAUGAGUGUUGAGGCCAAUUGCACGACUGGAAGUUCUCUAAAGUAACGUCGACGGAGAACAUUUGUUAAAGGGACCUAUAACUCCCACCUCCCCACCCGGGUGCACCCCUGAUUCGACACCAAGCCCGGGGAGGGCAGGACCCAGCCGUACAGUGAGCUGAUGUACGGUGUCUACCGCGUGCAUGCAUCGGUUCUGAGUGUGGGCGGAGGCCCAGCAGGAUCGCCCGAGGAUGUCCUUUUCCUAUGUUUAAGGCUGACUCUCGUCAUGUACUUCCAACAAAGCCAGAUAUCACAACAGAUCGAAUACAGAAACAGAUCCAAGAAUCCAGCUAUCUUCUGUUAAGCCAGAUAUGAAAGAAAUUGGCAAAAUUUCUCUGUUAAACGA